UACGUAGGGGGCAAGCGUUGUUCGGAAUUACUGGGCGUAAAGGGCGCGUAGGCGGCAUGGCAAGUCGGGAGUGAAAGCCCGGGGCUCAACCCCGGAACGGCUUUCGAAACUGCCAAGCUAGAGUACGGAAGGGGCAACUGGAAUUCCCAGUGUAGCGGUGAAAUGCGUAGAUAUUGGGAAGAACACCGGAGGCGAAGGCGGGUUGCUGGGCCGAUACUGACGCUGAGGCGCGAAAGCCAGGGGAGCAAACGGG
rnacentral:rRNA from 3 species